rnacentral:rRNA from 1 species
UGUAACGGCCAUACCACGUUGGAUCACCAGUUCCCGUUCGAUCACUGAAGUUAAGCAACGUCGGGCGCGGUUAGUACUUGGAUGGGUGACCGCUUGGGAACCCCGCGUGCCGUUAUUU